GGAAUAUUGCACAAUGGGCGCAAGCCUGAUGCAGCCAUGCCGCGUGUAUGAAGAAGGCCUUCGGGUUGUAAAGUACUUUCAGCGGGGAUGAAGGUGUUGUGGUUAAUAACCACAGCAAUUGACGUUACCCGCAGAAGAAGCACCGGCUAACUCCGUGCCAGCAGCCGCGGUAAUACGGAGGGCGCAAGCGUUAAUCGGAAUUACUGGGCGUAAAGCGCACGCAGGCGGUCUGUCAAGUCGGAUGUGAAAUCCCCGGGCUCAACCUGGGAACUGCAUUCGAAACUGGCAGGCUAGAGUCUUGUAGAGGGGGGUAGAAUUCCAGGUGUAGCGGUGAAAUGCGUAGAGAUCUGGAGGAAUACCGGUGGCGAAGGCGGCCCCCUGGACAAAGACUGACGCUCAGGUGCGAAAGCGUGGGGAGCAAACAGGA
rnacentral:misc_RNA from 1 species